UAUUCGAUUUUAAUUAAAAAUAAUUUGUUUUGUUUAAAUGUUGUCAUUUUUCUGUAUACUAAACCUACAGUGGUUAUAAAAUAUUAGUAUAUAACAAUACAUUAAAAAAAUAUUUGUUUAUGAGACCUAAUUCGCUGUUAUUAUUUAGCAUAGAAGUUUGAAAAAAGACGUCCAACAAAAACAUUUAACACUAAUCUGAUGUAGGUACACGGUAUAUUAUUUUCCUUUGCGUUGUCAUUUUAUCAAAAGUAAUUAAAUCUAAUAAUUACCGAAGUUUUUUUUUUUUUUAGAAUAACAUUCAAUUUGUAACGCAGAUAUGUCUUUACGCAAUUCCAAUAAACGUCAACGCUAUCAAACCCAAAGAACAAACAAAAAUUUUAAAGUACUAACGAGUUAAAUAUGAUUUAUAACGUAAGACAAGACAAAUUGAAAAAAUAAUAUGUAGUUUAAAAAAAAAUAUGUGUAUAAAUACAUCGACAAUAACCUAAACAAAUGUUUCCACAACAUUUUUCAUCACCAACUUAAAUACUGAAUCGACGACCACAAUAAAUUUUAAUCUUUAAAUAAUUGAGCCCCAAAAGUACAAUACAAAUUAUAAUUUUGCAAUUAUUUUUUUUCAACCGCGGAAGACAAACGGCCCUCGCGGUUACACAUUUCGAAUACGCGAAAACGGGUACAAUCACAAACCGGUUACAUUAAACUAGUUUUAAAAAGUUUCAACUACUUUAUCGUAUUAAAAGUGUUAUUGCUCAGUGAUUUCCUUCUUCAAAUACACGAAAGGCAAAAAAAACCUGAUCGAGAUUUUCCAAGGACUACAACGUGUAGGUACAACUGUAUAGGUAUACAAUAUAAAUCAACAGUAUUGUACAGUUGUUAAAUAAGUCGGAGUAUCCGUGAUGAUACGCCAACUAAAAAACUCAUGGUGAUUAAAGUAGUAUCGAGUGAACCCAUUUUACGGAGUAGUCCGUUUACUACUACAAAAAUUUUUUUUUUGUUUUGUUCGUUUUACUUUACAACUCUAUUAAACGUUAAAAUGUUUAAAUUUCUCAUUAUAUAUAUGUUUAUAGAUUAUCAUGUAUAACAAUUUUUAAUUUAUCUAAUCAAAUUUAGCCUAAAAGAUGCAGUUAUAAGCAAGAACCACAAUUUUUUUUCUGGGGCAGUACCAAUAAUCCCGGUUACAAGCAUGCUCUCUAGCAUCCUCUGGACUGUAACACCUAUCAUCCGGCAAGCUACGGGCCACAGCUACAUCAUAGAACACGCAAAUAAUAUCACAUUACGUGCGUAGGUUUGUACGUUACAGUAUGCAGGAUACCAUUAUAAUAUCGAAAUUCUACGACAGUCGAAGAGUCAACUGUUGAAAGAACACGAUCUUACGGUUAUAAAGGUGGUGUUGGGAAGGCUCGAAAAUGGCUGGUUAAGUAUAAUAUUGGCACGAAAAACACGUCAGCAGUAGCCAGAGGAAAAAUUAAUAGAAAACGAAAUUCAUGGUCACGCGACGGUCAAAAUACGCUUGUACUUAAUGUCACUGAAUAUAUUCAAAAGGUGAGCAGACCACUACAUUUUAUUACCGCUGUUGACAAGGAAAUUCGUUGGACCGAUGUAACCAAAACCACACAAUAGAUUAUUACGAUUAUAAAGAAUUAUUUAUUAGUACGAACCGAUAAAUGAAAACAACUUACACACACACUUCAAUAACAACAGCAGUGAAGAAUAUAAUGGAUAAAACAACUUUCUUUAUAUAUGAUUUUUAUGUUUUGAUAUGUUCAUAGAUAGGUUAUAAGUAUGUACAGGGAAUAGAAAAUUGCUCUCGGAGUAGAAUUAUAGAGAAAUCGACGAUCGAUCUUAGUAUAUAAUAUAUAUUUAUAUGUAUACAACACGUAGCUUGCCAUUGAUCGGGUUACGUGAUUUUUACAUUUUCCAAUAGUUUCUCGAUCAUUUUUUUUUAUGAUUAUUCUCUGAAGCGGCAUAAUUAGAUAAUAGGUUUACCGUAGACGGUUUAUAGCAAGUCGAGAUCGCAUUAUUACAAUAUUAUAUUGUUGUUGCGAUUGUUUUUGUUUUAUAACCCGACAAAAACAGUUGAUCCAUAAGUUCAAUGACAAGGUAUGGUUUAAAAUAAAAUUAUAGAUACGGUCAUACAGGUGCCAAUUGGCAAUUACUCGUGCGAAUAAUGAUGAGAAAUGUACGCGGCAUCACAAAAACAAACGCAUGGUAAAUACACGGCAACACGGACGAAAAACAACACCAUAAGCAACUUUAAGAAUUCUCGAGGAUAGUCUUGGAUACGUUUAGAAAAUCGUUCAAUAUUUACAAAAAAAA